CCAUGUAGGGGCACCUAAGACAGACUGGUGAUAACAGAGAGCUCUGACAAAAGGUGAUCCACUGGAGAAGGAAAUGGCAACCCAUGCCUGUAUCCUUGCCAUGAAAAGCCCAUGGACAGUAUCAACAGGCAAAGAGAUAGGAUGCUGGAAGAUGAGUCAUUCAGGUCAGAAGAUGUCCAAUGUGCUACUGGGGGAGAGCAGAAGGCUAGUGCUAGUAGUGUCAGAAAGAACAAAUUGACUGGGUCAAAGCCGAAAGGACACUCAGUUGCAGAUGUAUCUGAGAUCUCUUCAAGAAAAUUGGAGAUAUGAAG